rnacentral:rRNA from 1 species
UACGUAGGGUGCGAGCGUUAAUCGGAAUUACUGGGCGUAAAGCGUGCGCAGGCGGGCUUCUAAGUCAGACGUGAAAUCCCCGGGCUUAACCUGGGAAUGGCGUUUGGGACUGGGAGUCUGGAGUGCGGCAGAGGAGACUGGAAUUCCUGGUGUAGCAGUGAAAUGCGUAGAUAUCAGGAGGAACACCAAUGGCGAAGGCAGGUCUCUGGACAGUUCCUGACACUGAGGCACGAAGGCCAGGGGAGCAAACGGG